rnacentral:rRNA from 1 species
UACGAAGGGUCCAAGCGUUAUCCGGAUUUAUUGGGUUUAAAGGGUGCGUAGGCGGGUUAUUAAGUCAGUGGUGAAAUCUUGCAGCUUAACUGUAAAAUUGCCAUUGAUACUGAUGAUCUUGAGUACGUUUGAAGUGGGCGGAAUAUGUCAUGUAGAGGUGAAAUUCUUAGAGAUGACAUAGAACACCGAUUGCGAAGGCAGCUCACUAAACUGUAACUGACGCUGAGGCACGAAAGCGUGGGGAUCAAACAGG